GUGACCUGCGGAGGAUCAUUAAAGAGACGUUGCCCUUCGGGGUAUACCUCCCACCCAUUGUUUAUUAUACCUUUGUUGCUUUGGCAGACCCGGCUUCGGCCCACCGGCUCCGGCUGGUCAGUGUCUGCCAGAGGACCUAAAACUCUGUUUGUUAAUAUUGUCUGAGUACUAUAUAAUAGUUAAAACUUUCAACAACGGAUCUCUUGGUUCUGGCAUCGAUGAAGAACGCAGCGAAAUGCGAUAAGUAAUGUGAAUUGCAGAAUUCAGUGAAUCAUCGAAUCUUUGAACGCACAUUGCGCCCUCUGGUAUUCCGGGGGGCAUGCCUGUUCGAGCGUCAUUACAACCCUCAAGCUUUGCUUGGUAUUGGACAUUGCCAGUUUCUGGCAGGUCUUAAAAUCAGUGGCGGUGCCAUUUGGCUUCAAGCGUAGUAAUUCUUCUCGCUUCGGAGAUCCAGGUGGUUACUUGCCAAUAACCCCCAAUUUUUUCAGGUUGACCUCGGAUCAGGUAGGGAUACCCGCUGAACUUAAGCAUAUCAAUAAGCGGAGGC
rnacentral:rRNA from 1 species